AUAGUUUACUUACAAGUGGUAAAGACAGGGGACUCAGAUACGUUUUUAGGAGAGACUAUGGGGAUUCUAGAAGAAGUUGAGUUAAGUGGAAAAACAUUUGUUAGGUGAAACUUGUUAAUUUCAUAUACGUACUUUUUGCUUCUUCCCUUCUGAGGCGUUGGCAAUAUUUCAACAGAUGGUGCAUCAGACAUGGCGGAUACGAUUGGAGUCUGCCCGAUAUCUUGGCGUUGUAUGGGCAAUUGCUCUAGAAAGAUAAGGAACGUUGGUCCGAGAGUCUGGAGUGCCUGCCUGCAGUGUUACGUUAUUGGAAAUAUGUAUACCAACAGAGUCCUGCGUUGGAAUACAAAUAGGAGUUUCGGACAGAACGACAGGAGCCGUCACCGUUGCUGAAGAUCCUUGCUCCGAGAAGUCAUUGUCCGCAGUCGAGUUGCUCUGUUAUGGGGAAUAUCGUAAUCGUAAUAUUAAUAAUUUAAUAUAUAUAAUAUUAUGAAAAUAUCGUACAAGAUUGAAGCCAAUCAAUAA